GACGAACGCUGGCGGCGUGCCUAAUACAUGCAAGUCGAGCGGAUGACAGAGGAGCUUGCUCCUCUAGAUUCAGCGGCGGACGGGUGAGUAACACGUGGGCAACCUGCCCUGUAGAUUGGGAUAACUCCGGGAAACCGGGGCUAAUACCGAAUAAUCCUUCGGACCUCAUGGACCGAUGUUGAAAGACGGCUUCGGCUGUCACUACAGGAUGGGCCCGCGGCGCAUUAGCUAGUUGGUGAGGUAAGGGCUCACCAAGGCCACGAUGCGUAGCCGACCUGAGAGGGUGAUCGGCCACACUGGGACUGAGACACGGCCCAGACUCCUACGGGAGGCAGCAGUAGGGAAUCUUCCACAAUGGACGAAAGUCUGAUGGAGCAACGCCGCGUGAGUGAAGAAGGUUCUCGGAUCGUAAAACUCUGUUGUGAGGGAAGAACAAGUACCGGAGUAACUGCCGGUACCUUGACGGUACCUCAUUAGAAAGCCACGGCUAACUACGUGCCAGCAGCCGCCGUAACAC
rnacentral:rRNA from 1 species